rnacentral:miRNA from 1 species
AAUCUUAAAAGGUAUGCUUGACACAACUUUUAAGAUCGGUUACAAAAGAACUGAUCUUAAAAGUGGUAUCAAACAUCACUUUUAAGAUC